rnacentral:rRNA from 1 species
GAUGAACGCUAGCGGCAGGCCUAAUACAUGCAAGUCGAACGAUACCAGAGAGCUUGCUUUCUGGGAAAGUGGCGCACGGGUGCGUAACGCGUAUGUAACCUACCUUAAUCAGGGGGACAGCCUCUCGAAAGAGAGAUUAACACCGCAUAACAUUAUGAUAUGGCAUCAUAUUAUAAUCAAAUAUUUAUAGGAUUAAGAUGGGCAUGCGUGACAUUAGCUAGUUGGUGAGGUAACGGCUCACCAAGGCUACGAUGUCUAGGGGAUCUGAGAGGAUGACCCCCCACACUGGUACUGAGACACGGACCAGACUCCUACGGGAGGCAGCAGUAAGGAAUAUUGGUCAAUGGAGGCAACUCUGAACCAGCCAUGCCGCGUGCAGGAAGACGGCCCUAUGGGUUGUAAACUGCUUUUAUACGGGAAUAAACCUCUGUACGUGUAGGGAGUUGAAUGUACUGUAAGAAUAAGGAUCGGCUAACUCCGUGCCAGCCGCCGCCGUAA